CCUGUGUGUGUGUGUGUGUAGAGUAUGUGAGAGAGUGUGAGGGGAUCUUCACACGGGGAGCACCGUGACUCCUCGCAGGAUGCUCGCCCGCCUCUCCCCCUACGCUGCUCGCCUGCAUGCUUACCAGGCGCCCGCUCGCGCUCUAAUCGCACAUCUGCUUCUCUCAACACUCUCUCCGUCUCUCUCCCCCUUUUAAGUGCACACCAAAUACACACGCUCGCUCACACACACACACACAACCUGCUGGACUGUCUCUCUGCUCGAGAGGGAACCGGAGACAGAGCCGGAGGAUGCCGCUACAAGAGGUGCAUUCACCACGGAGGAACCCUAAACACAGCAAGUCCUCCCCCCCCUCCCCUCCCCUCCCGCCUGCUAAGGAAAGCUGAAGCGAGAUGAAUUAAGCCGGACGAGACUCACAAGUGCUGAAUGGGACACACUGACAUGUUUCCCCAAAAUGUUUUUCUUAGUCGCUCCAACAGACAGGAAUCUACUGGCAAGAAGAAAGGCUCAGUCUUCCCCAGGAGAGAGGAGUACAAAGCCCCCAGUCUGCACACAGCAGAUGCAGAAAGCCAGUCCAUCUGCCACCAACUCCAUGUACCACAUGGGCCUGAGAGAGAUUUUGUUGUUUUUUUUUUUUUCUUAAGUUUACAUCUGCCUACCUAAGUGUGUGCAACACAAACAUAAUUAAAUGCAAAGCAAGUAAAUCU